CCUACGGGUGGCAGCAGUGAGGAAUAUUGGUCAAUGGGCGAGAGCCUGAACCAGCGAAAUCGCGUGAGGGAGUACUGCCCUAUGGUUUGUAAACCUCUUUUUUCGGGGAGCAAAAGCCGGACGUGUCCGGCUGUGAGAGUGCCAGAAGAAAAAGCGUCGGCUAACACCGUGCCAGCAGCCGCGGUAAUACUGAGGAUGCGAGCGUUAUCCUGAUUUUUUGGUUUUAAAGGGUGCGUAGUCUGUUUUUUAAGUUAGUGGUUAGACGUCGGGGCUCCACCUUGACUUGCCAUUGAUAUUGGUAGACUCGAGUUCAGACGAGGUAGGCGGAAUAAGUUAAGUAGCGGUGAAAUGCUUAGAUAUAACGUAGAACACCGAUAGCGAAGGCAGCUUACCAGACCGCGACUGACGCUGAAGCACGAGAGCGUGGGUAGCGAACAGGAUUAGAUACCCCGGUAGUC
rnacentral:rRNA from 1 species